GAAAUGCGAUAAGUAAUGUGAAUUGCAGAAUUCAGUGAAUCAUCGAAUCUUUGAACGCACCUUGCGCUCCUUGUAUUCCUUGGAGCAUGCCUGUUUGAGUAUCAUGAAAUCUUCAAAGUAAAUCUUUUGUUAACUCAAUUGGUUUCUACUUUGGUAUUGGAGGUCUUUGCAGCUUCACACCUGCUCCUCUUUGUUCAUUAGCUGGAUCUCAGUGUUAUGCUUGGUUCCACUCGGCGUGAUAAGUUAUCUAUCGCUGAGGACACUGUAAAAGGUGGCCAAGGUAAAUGCAGAUGAACCGCUUCUAAUAGUCCAUUGACUUGGACAAUACUUUUAUGAUCUGAUCUCAAAUCAGGUAGGACUACCCGCUGAACUUAAGC
rnacentral:misc_RNA from 1 species